rnacentral:rRNA from 1 species
UACGUAGGGGGCUAGCGUUGUCCGGAAUCAUUGGGCGUAAAGCGCGCGUAGGCGGUCAGGUAAGUCCGGUGUGAAAGUCAUAGGCUCAACCUAUGAAUGCCGCUGGAAACUGCCUGACUUGAGUCCGGAAGGGGCGAGUGGAAUUCCUGGUGUAGCGGUGAAAUGCGCAGAUAUCAGGAAGAACACCUAUGGCGAAGGCAGCUCUCUGGGACGGUACUGACGCUGAGACGCGAAAGCGUGGGGAGCGAACAGG